rfam:Gossypium arboreum cultivar AKA8401 contig_50011_1, whole genome shotgun sequence.
GGUUCUUUGGGUCAAAUCGGGUUAGGGGUGUUACAGAACUUACUCAAUCAUACCCUAUGAUAAUUUACCUCACACUUGUACUUUGAAAACUUGAUACUCUCAAUAGUAAAUUCAUCCCUUAAGAAUUCGGCAAGUAAAACCACAACACAAAUGACGAAAGCUCUUUACUGGGCUGACACUGACACUGAGAGACGAAAGCUAGGGGAGCAAAUAGGAUUAGAUACCCUAGUAGUCCUAGCCGUAAACGAUGGAUACUAGGCGUUGUGCGUAUCAACCCGUGCAGUGCUGUAGCUAACAUGUUAAGUAUCCCACU